ACCGCCUGGGGAGUACGGCCGCAAGGUUAAAACUCAAAUGAAUUGACGGGGGCCCGCACAAGCGGUGGAGCAUGUGGUUUAAUUCGAUGCAACGCGAAGAACCUUACCUGGUCUUGACAUCCACAGAACUUUCCAGAGAUGGAUUGGUGCCUUCGGGAACUGUGAGACAGGUGCUGCAUGGCUGUCGUCAGCUCGUGUUGUCNAAUGUUGGGUUAAGUCCCGCAACGAGCGCAACCCUUAUCCUUUGUUGCCAGCGGUUAGGCCGGGAACUCAAAGGAGACUGCCAGUGAUAAACUGGAGGAAGGUGGGGAUGACGUCAAGUCAUCAUGGCCCUUACGACCAGGGCUACACACGUGCUACAAUGGCGCAUACAAAGAGAAGCGACCUCGCGAGAGCAAGCGGACCUCAUAAAGUGCGUCGUAGUCCGGAUUGGAGUCUGCAACUCGACUCCAUGAAGUCGGAAUCGCUAGUAAUCGUAGAUCAGAAUGCUACGGUGAAUACGUUCCCGGGCCUUGUACACACCGCCCGUCACACCAUGGGAGUGGGUUGCAAAAGAAGUAGGUAGCUUAACCUUCGGGAGGGCGC
rnacentral:rRNA from 1 species